AAAAAUGUCACGCACAGGGCAAACCAUUCGAAAGAGUGGGACGCAAAGCCUCCGGCCUAAACCAGAAGACAUGGUAGGUAGCGGGGUUACCGAUGGCAAA
rnacentral:ncRNA from 1 species